AACAACAACUUCCGCUUCAUGGGUUUUAUCAAACAACCCGACUCCGACCCCAAUCCAAACCCCAACACCUUCGAGUUCGACGAAAGCGACGUCGUUUGGUCCUCAUCCGAUCUAUCAGAUACUAGCGACACCCAUUCUAUCUCCCACUCUCCUCCCAUCCUUUCCAGUUCCCCCACCACUCUCCGCCGCCACCACCAUCACCACCUCCACCUCAACCACCAACACCCUCCAUUUCAGCCUGAUAAGUCUGGCCUCUCCGCUGCUUUGACCGACGACCACCACCCUCUCGU
rnacentral:lncRNA from 1 species